rnacentral:rRNA from 1 species
GUUAAAAAGCUCGUAGUUGGAUUUCUGCGGGGGCGGGGCGGCCGGUUGCUUAUAGCAACUCGAGCUAGCACUUCCCCCGCAUCCUGCCGCGAACCGUGCUACCAUUAGUUUGGUGGCGCUGGGGAUCGGCUCGUUUACUUUGAGAAAAAUAGAGUGUUCAAAGCAGGCCACACGCCUUGAAUAAGUUAGCAUGGAAUAAUGAUAAAGGACUUCGGUUCUAUUUUGUUGGUGUUCGGGACUGAAGUAAUGAUUGAUAGGGACAGUUGGGGCGGUCAGUAUUCCAAAGCGAGAGGUGAAAUUCUUAGACCUUCGGAAGACUAACAGCUGCGAAAGCGUUCCGCAAGGAUGUUCCCUUUGAUCAAGAACGAAAGUUGGGGGAUCGAAGACGAUCAGAUACCGUCGUAGUCUCAACUAUAAACUAUACCAGCUAGGGAUCGGCCGACGUUUACUUAUAUCGACUCGGUCGGCACCUUAUGAGAAAUCAAAACAUCUGGGUUCCGGGGGGAGUAUG